rnacentral:rRNA from 1 species
AUUGAACGCUGGCGGCAUGCCUUACACAUGCAAGUCGAACGGUAACAGGUCUUCGGAUGCUGACGAGUGGCGAACGGGUGAGUAAUACAUCGGAACGUGCCCAGACGUGGGGGAUAACGAGGCGAAAGCUUUGCUAAUACCGCAUACGAUCUAAGGAUGAAAGCAGGGGACCGCAAGGCCUUGCGCGUUUGGAGCGGCCGAUGGCAGAUUAGGUAGCUGGUGGGAUAAAAGCUUACCAAGCCGACGAUCUGUAGCUGGUCUGAGAGGACGACCAGCCACACUGGGACUGAGACACGGCCCAGACUCCUACGGGAGGCAGCAGUGGGGAAUUUUGGACAAUGGGCGAAAGCCUGAUCCAGCAAUGCCGCGUGCAGGAUGAAGGCCUUCGGGUUGUAAACUGCUUUUGUACGGAACGAAAAGGCUCUGGCUAAUACCUGGGGCACAUGACGGUACCGUAAGAAUAAGCACCGGCUAACUACGUG